GGUGCUUGUUAUAAGUAGAACUUCAAUUUACCGUGGAGUCGUGUAAUAGUACUGGGUGACUAUAAUCAUUUUCAUAACGGAAUAGGGGAAAAUUAUUUUCAUAGUGAAAUAAGAGAAAAUAAAGACUGAAUUUAACUGAAAAUUUAUGUUAAAUGUGUAAAACCUCGUUCGUAUAUGAAACAUAUAAGACGCGAGCAAUUCCACAAUCGAUACUCUUUAUUAAAAAUCACUUGAACAAUUCUACGAGACUUGUUCAAUUAGGUUAACAUGACUAACACACAUGUUUCUUAGACCAUGAUCAUCGGUGGUUAUUAACAAAGUUCUUAAGCAAAUAAACUCAUUUAAAUAAAUCUAAACUAAAUAAAAAUCAGAUAAUCGAUCCUUAAGUUAGCACUUUGGGGACCGAUCUUUACUUGAGUUUUCUUCUACGUGUCAGGCAACAAAAACCUCUGUAUUUUUUUUCUCUCUCUUUCUUUUCAUUUUUUCUCGUCUUCUUCGUCUUCUUGAUUCCAUUGGGUUUUCUUCUUUUCUUCCGCUGCGACAAACCCAAGAAUAGAGUGGCAAAGGAAGGGAUUGAUGGCCACGACGGCGAAGGUAGAAAACGACGAACUCCGGCGAUUCAAAGAUGUUAAUCUCGACGAAGCUUCGGCUCGCCGUCACCAAGAGAUGGAAUCAGGACAAUCGAUUCCUUGAAAGAUAUUCAUCUUAAUCUCGAUCACAUCCUCUUCAAAGUAAAAACUAAAAAAAAUCUGAAAUUGAAUUUUGUUCCGCCUAGAAUUGAUUCAAGACAAUCAAUUCCUGAUGCUUCUAAGCCUAGAGCUCUGUUGGAGAGCUUGCCUGCUAUGGUUGGUGGAGUGUGGUCGGAGGACAUGAGCUUACAGCUUGAAGCCACCACUCUGUUCAGGAAACUGCUUUCUAUUGUGGGAGCAUUGAGAGAUUCAUCACAGAGUGGAGCAGUGGGAGCAUCUCGUGCUUGUUGUUUCACAGACCGAUAAUGCUUGUUGUUUCAUGGACUGAGUGGAGCAGUGGUAAAAAAGUCUACUCUUCUUCAAGUCUUGGCUUUUGUCGCUUGUUAGACUUAGUUUAUAGUUAGUGAAUAUGUGUGUGUUGAAUGAUUGAAGUAGUUGAUAGAGGUGGUUAUACACAAAGUAAUCAAAAACAAAUAUUUUUUUUUUAAGAAACCUAAAUUAAGAAACUACCAUUUUU